UCCCUUUUAAAAGUGCUCAGUCGUCCUUUUGCUCGUGACCGAUUGAGCUGUUAAGAAGGGGUUAAGUAAAAACAUAGCUUUUGGUUGAAGUAGCAAGCUGUGUUGUUUUAAUUCAAUUGGUGGUGUGGAAAGA
ensembl:snoRNA